rnacentral:siRNA from 1 species
AGGUUAUGAAUCCACGCUACGCGU